AUUUUCCAAUUAAACGGGUUACUCGUCCUUCUCCGUUAUAACAGGAGAAAUGGAUCAGGGUUCGAGUUUGUUAAGGAAAGAAUGGCUAGAGCUGGCGGUAAAACAGACGUAGUGAACGUCGGUAUCGCUGUUCAAGCUGAUUGGGAAAAUCGAGAGUUUAUUUCUCACAUUUGUCUAAACGUUCGUCGCCUUUUCGAAUUCUUUGUCCAGUUUGGCUACUGGGGAAGCAAAAUUGAUUACAUUGAGUUUAGAAAGUCCCACAUUUCAAUCUUACUAAUUCAGGCUGUCGCUUCUUGUUCUUUCUGAGGCUACAACUAAGAGCAAAUUAGCAUCACUAAAUGAGCAGCUUGACACGCUGGAGCGUCGUUUAGAACUGCUUCAAGUCAAAGUGAGUACUGCAUCAUCAAAUCCACCACUGUUCGCUACCUGAUGUCUCUAAUCAUGUGACUGUAGAUAACCCGUUUCCAAUGUUAGACCAUUGCAGGUUUACACAAGAAGGCAGAAGAGAGGAACAGCCAUGGCCGCAGCAAACAAGCUGGAGAAGGAGAUGUCAGCCAAGUCUAAGGAGGACAAAUCAGCAGAUGGUUCAGUUAAGCAGUUAGUUGAGCCAGAUGGAUGUGUAGUUAGACAGUUAGAUGAGUAAUUUGUAAUGGCGGGAAAUAUAUUAGGAAGGGGAACAAGGAGAGUGAAAUUAUGUUGUAUUUUGUAGAGGGAGAUUGAGAGCAUUGUAUCGAGAGAACCAGUAUCUUAACGGCUAGUAAUUCUUGUAUGCAUGGGAAUUGUAAUCAUAAUUGAAGUAUAUUUAUUCAAUGAUUGAAUUACUGUUAUUUACAA